rnacentral:rRNA from 1 species
CUGCGACCCCAGGUCAGGCGGGACUA